GACGUAGGAUGCAAGCGUUGUCCGGAAUUAUUGGGCGUAAAGAGUUCGUAGGCGGUUGCCUAAGUCUGAUGUUAAAAGCCCGGAGCUCAACUCCGGCAUGGCAUUGGAAACUGGGCAGCUAGAGUGCUGUAGAGGUAAUGGGAAUUCCCGGUGUAGCGGUGAAAUGCGUAGAUAUCGAGAGGAACACCUGCGGCGAAGGCGGGUAGCUGGGCCGACACUGACGCUGAAGCGCGAAAGCUAGGGGAGCGAACGGG
rnacentral:rRNA from 1 species